UCCUUGAAAUACCACCCUUUAAUGGCUGGUGUUCUAACGUGGGCCCGUGAUCCGGGUUGCGGACAGUGUCUGGUGGGUAGUUUGACUGGGGCGGUCUCCUCCUAAAGAGUAACGGAGGAGCACGAAGGUCAGCUAAUCCUGGUCGGACAUCAGGAGGUUAGUGCAAUGGCAUAAGCUGGCUUGACUGCGAGCGUGACGGCGCGAGCAGGUGCGAAAGCAGGUCAUAGUGAUCCGGUGGUUCUGAAUGGAAGGGCCAUCGCUCAACGGAUAAAAGGUACUCCGGGGAUAACAGGCUGAUACCGCCCAAGAGUUCAUAUCGACGGCGGUGUUUGGCACCUCGAUGUCGGCUCAUCACAUCCUGGGGCUGAAGUAGGUCCCAAGGGUAUGGCUGUUCGCCAUUUAAAGUGGUACGCGAGCUGGGUUUAGAACGUCGUGAGACAGUUCGGUCCCUAUCUGCCGUGGGCGCUGGAGAAUUGAGGGGGGCUGCUCCUAGUACGAGAGGACCGGAGUGGACGCAUCACUGGUGUUCGGGUUGUCAUGCCAAUGGCAUUGCCCGGUAGCUAAAUGCGGAAGAGAUAAGUGCUGAAAGCAUCUAAGCACGAAACUUGCC
rnacentral:rRNA from 1 species